UCCAAAUUUAAUGAUGACAUAUUUAAAAAUGCAUAUAAAGCGUAUAGGCCUGGGCUAUAACUAUUAUAUAUUUAGUAGGCUCUGUUACUGCGUGUGAUAUUCCCUCAGCUCGGCUCAGCUCAGGGCAUGCAGCUUCCCGAAAUGACCCACGUGUCCUCCCUGCAGUCAGCAAAUUCGCAGGCUUCUAAAUCGUGAUGCAGAAAAUAAGAGUCGUGUUGGAGUCGCCGGGUGCAUUUGUGUCGGUGCUGAAAAAUAUCUCACUGUGGCUAAAAUCACACACCUGCGUGUCCUUAUGAAGUUGAGGGGGAAGCGGAAGGCGUGCCUUAAACUGAUGGUGAAUGAUCCCCAAACACACACGGAGAGGUUUUGCCCGUCGUUGUGACCCCUGCCUCGGCACAAUGCUCCUUUGUCAUGUGAGUCGCGGCCCUCUUCCGCUCACAGACCUCGCCGGCCUCCUCUCCUUGCGCGCCCCGCCGCGCCAGGGUGCGCCGAUCGUCUGGCGAACGGAUUUCAGGGGAAAUGCAGAACGCCGGCUAACAAUACGGCAGCGAGCAAGUGACCUAACUGGACUGAAGACAAUGGACAAAAGUGAUACGGGAGUAUGGCCUUUGCGGUCGCACAAAUGGACACGUAAAAUAGCUAUUGUGCUGCAUCAUAUCUCCUCCUGGUUUAUUUAAUUAUAUUUUGUGCUAUUGUUGUCUGGGAAAAGGCACUGGCUAUACUUACAAUGGUCUGGAUUUAAAACGUGCUAACGGACACACAAUAAAGAAUGCGAGGUAUGAAACAUCCUUCAGUGUGGGUGUUAUUCCGGUUCAAGUGCAAUUAGUGGCCACUGGGCCCUUUAACCCUAAUUACAAAAGCAAAUCGAUGUGUGAGCUGGCGCACACCUACAGCAUCUAUUGAUCGCAGCCUUUUAUCACUGAGUGUCCUUUUGUGUGCCUAUUGAAGUCCCUUUUCCUGGGAACCUGCACUGAUGUCCAAGUAUUUGAGUAUCAACACAAGUCCCUCUCACUGAUAUCUAGCUCUAUCUGUAUAUGCAUGCAUUUACUGGAAGACUUAUGCAGAUUGCAUAAACAACUCAUGUAUUUCACUCAGAAAUGUGCAUGCUUAUAAACCGGAUAACAUCUACAAUAUUUUCCCCCUUGUUCAUAUUGAAAAUGGCUUUCCAGAUGCAACAGGAAUGUAAAGCUGUCUUAAUUUCUUUAUCUUUUACAUAUUUGUGCAUAAAUUAUUAAAUUAA